GGAGUUAGCCGGUGCUUCUUCUGUGAGUGAUGUCCUUCCUGCCGGCUAUUAACCCGCAGGCCUUCUUCCUCACUGAAAGUGCUUUACAACCCGAAGGCCUUCUUCACACACGCGGCAUGGCUGGAUCAGGGUUGCCCCCAUUGUCCAAUAUUCCCCACUGCUGCCUCCCGUAGGAGUCUGGGCCGUGUCUCAGUCCCAGUGUGGCUGAUCAUCCUCUCAGACCAGCUACGGAUCGUCGCCUUGGUGAGCCGUUACCUCACCAACCAGCUAAUCCGACAUAGGCUCAUCCGAUAGCGCGAGGCCCGAAGGUCCCCCGCUUUCCCCCGUAGGGCGUAUGCGGUAUUAGCCUGGGUUUCCCCAGGGUUAUCCCCCACUACCGGGCAGAUUCCUAUGCAUUACUCACCCGUCCGCCGCUCGCCACCAGGGAGCAAGCUCCCCGUGCUGCCGCUCGACUUGCAUGUGUAGCNCGCCGCCACGCGUCAUCUGAGCCAUGAUACAACUACUGA
rnacentral:rRNA from 1 species